CCUCCUUAUACGAUUUAGAACUUAUUUGUUCGUAGUGUCCACACAGAUGAUUGUUAGUUAGUUUUACCCUUUGGGUUUAACUGAUUAAUAUGCUCUUUAAAAAUUUGGAAAAGCUGAUAAUAAAAUUCUGAUAAAUAUUCGUAUUUAUCAAGAGUUUUCAAAAGUAAAAAAGAAUGAUAGCAGUAUCAUUCAGUGCCAAUUUAAUCAUUCAUGAUUAAUUGGUAUCUACUUUAGUAUUCAAUAUUAACUUCUGGCGAAGUUAAACUGUCACUAACAAAGACCCGUUUGGGUUGUAUGGUUAAGUGCACUAAGCNGUACACGNGUGGAUGCC
rnacentral:misc_RNA from 1 species